rnacentral:rRNA from 1 species
CCUACGGGAGGCAGCAGUGGGGAAUAUUGCACAAUGGGGGAAACCCUGAUGCAGCGACGCCGCGUGAGUGAAGAAGUACUUCGUUAUGUAAAGCUCUAUCAGCAGGGAAGAAAAUGACGGUACCUUAGUAAGAAGCCCCGGCUAACUACGGUCCAGCAGCCGCGGGAAUACGUAGGGGGCAAGCGUUAUCCGGAUUUACUGGGUGUAAAGGGAGCGUAGACGGCAGUGCAAGUCUGGAGUGAAAGGCGGGGGCUCAACCCCCGGACUGCUCUGGAAACUGUAGGGCUGGAGUGCAGGAGAGGCAGGCGGAAUUCCUGGUGUAGCGGUGAAAUGCGUAGAUAUUAGGAGGAACACCGGCGGCGAAGGCGGCUUACUGGACUGUGACUGACGUUGAGGCUCGAAAGCGUGGGGAGCAAACAGGAUUAGAUACCCCGGUAGUC